rnacentral:rRNA from 1 species
CUCGUAGGCGGUCUGAUAAGUCCUGUGUGAAAUCCCUUGGCUUAACCAAGGAACUGCGCCGGAUACUGUCGGACUAGAGGCCGGGAGAGGGAAGCGGAAUUCCGAGUGUAGCGGUGAAAUGCGUAGAUAUUCGGAGGAACACCGGUGGCGAAGGCGGCUUCCUGGACCGGUUCUGACGCUGAGGGGCGAAAGCUAGGGUAGCAAACA